AAGCGCCGCCAUGUCCGCCGCCCUGCUGCGGCGGGGCCUGGAGCUGCUGGCGGCGUCCGAGGCCCCCCGGGACCCUCCAGGUCAGGCCAAGCCGAGAGGGGCUCCGGUGAAACGGCCCCGGAAGACGAAGGCAAUUCAGGCCCAGAAACUGCGGAACUCGGCCAAGGGAAAGGUGCCCAAGUCGGCACUGGACGGGGUUUCACCAUGUUGGCCACGCUGAUCUCGAACUCCUGACCUCAGGUGACCUGCCUGCCUCGGCCUCCCAAAGUGCUGAGAUUACAGACGAGUACCGGAAGCGAGAGUGUCGAGACCACCUCAGAGUAAACCUGAAGUUUCUGACCAGGACGAGAAGCACCGUGGCUGAGUCUGUGAGCCAGCAGAUUUUGCGCCAGAACCGGGGCCGCAAGGCCUGUGACCGGCCUGUGGCCAAGACCAAGAAGAAGAAGGCUGAGGGCACCGUGUUCACCGAGGAAGACUUCCAGAAGUUCCAGCAGGAAUACUUCGGCAGCUAGGCUCCCUGGAGGGCACGGUGAAGAGGCCUUCAAGCCCUGCAGCCUCCGACUCCUGCUGGCUCCAGGAACCGGCCGUGCCGCGCGGCCAGCAGAUGGCGAUGCAGGACCAGCCUGGCUCGAGGAAGCCGCGGAGCUGAGCCGAGUGGAGGCUGGAAUGGAGCUGGUGGGCCGGAAGUCCUGGGGAGGAUUUACACACAGACCGGAGCUGGCUUCCGCAGGCCUGGGCAGAGCAUCUGCACCUGCCGGAAAGGAACGUAUCUGUUUUGUUUGCUUUUGCCCAGGUGGGGCCUCUGGGCUGUUUGCUGUGGAGCAAGGCUAAUUCCUGAGCCCUUGGGGACGACAGCUCCAGGAGUAGGAAGAAGGGUGGGCUUCCAAGUUACAAUAAAUGUGAACCCAAGA